UACGAAGGGGGCUAGCGUUGUUCGGAAUUACUGGGCGUAAAGCGCACGUAGGCGGAUUGCUAAGUCAGGGGUGAAAUCCCGGGGCUCAACCUCGGAACUGCCUUUGAUACUGCAAGCCUUGAGUCCGGAAGAGGUUGGUGGAACAGCUAGUGUAGAGGUGAAAUUCGUAGAUAUUAGCUAGAACACCAGUGGCGAAGGCGGCCAACUGGUCCGGAACUGACGCUGAGGUGCGAAAGCGUGGGGAGCAGACAGG
rnacentral:rRNA from 1 species